rnacentral:rRNA from 1 species
CCUACGGGUUGCACCAGUGGGGAAUAUUGCACAAUGGGCGCAAGCCUGAUGCAGCCAUGCCGCGUGUAUGAAGAAGGCCCUAGGGUUGUAAAGUACUUUCAGUCAGGAGGAAGGCGUUGAUGCUAAUAUCAUCAACGAUUGACGUUACCGACAGAAGAAGCACCGGCUAACUCCGUGCCAGCAGCCGCGGUAAUACGGAGGGUGCAAGCGUUAAUCGGAAUUACUGGGCGUAAAGCGCACGCAGGCGGUUGAUUAAGUUAGAUGUGAAAUCCCCGGGCUUAACCUGGGAAUGGCAUCUAAGACUGGUCAGCUAGAGUCUUGUAGAGGGGGGUAGAAUUCCAUGUGUAGUGGUGAAAUGCGUAGAGAUGUGGAGGAAUACCAGUGGCGAGGGCGGCCCCCUGGACAAAGACUGGCGCUCAGGUGCGAAAGCGUGGGGAGCAAACAGGAUUAGAUACCCCAGUAGUC